AUUACUGGAGAGGACAUUACUGCAGAGAAGUCACAAGUGGUGCACGUGCAUACUGGGCAAUUGAGUUACAUGACCACAAAGACUGUAUUGUACAAGGGCGUACGUUUAAGACAAGCCUUUUUUUUAUAUAGUAUGGGUGGUGAGUGUUAUUGGAUUUUAUUGUAUUGAAUGAAUCUGUUGUUGCUUUUUUACACUUCAACUGUAAUUUAGGUUUUGCUUAAGUGAUGUAAGGCAUUAUAUAUGUGAAAUGAAAAGUUAACUGUCCUUCAGCCGUUAUAUUAGACAUGAUAUAUUAUUUAAUUUAACCUAUUCAUUGAAGUCAUGAAAGUAAUAGUGGUGAUUAUUUAGUUGAUACAAUAUUUUGAAGCUGGUCUAUAAUAAACUUAUUCACUGAACACCUUCUUUGUUGCUGGUACAGAUCAUGAAGUAAUUGGUUAUUUGAAUAUUAUGGUGUUUUUGAUGUACAUUUGUUUUUACUCUUGUGCUUCUACAGGGGCUGUUUUGUUGCCUUCAGAAUAAAAUAACCUUCCAUCAACUGCAAA